rnacentral:rRNA from 1 species
AUUGAACGCUGGCGGCAGGCCUAACACAUGCAAGUCGAGCGGAUGAGAGGAGCUUGCUCCUUGAUUUAGCGGCGGACGGGUGAGUAAUGCCUAGGAAUCUGCCUGGUGGUGGGGGAUAACGUUCCGAAAGGAACGCUAAUACCGCAUACGUCCUACGGGAGAAAGCGGGGGAUCUUCGGACCUCGCGCCAUGAGAUGAGCCUAGGUCGGAUUAGCUAGUUGGUGAGGUAAUGGCUCACCAAGGCGACGAUCCGUAACUGGUCUGAGAGGCUGAUCAGUCACACUGGAACUGAGACACGGUCCAGACUCCUAAGGGAGGCAGCAGUGGGGAAUAUUGGACAAUGGGCGAAAGCCUGAUCCAGCCAUGCCGCGUGUGUGAAGAAGGUCUUCGGAUUGUAAAGCACUUUAAGUUGGGAGGAAGGGUAUUCACCUAAUACGUGAGUAUUUUGACGUUACCGACAGAAUAAGCACCGGCUAACUUCGUGCCAGCCGCCGCCGUAACAC